UUUUUUUUAAGAAUCACAUCCCAUUUAUUGAUGGACCAAUGGUCAAUAUAAAUAUGCUGAUAUUUUUGGCAUUCCCAAAUAGAUCAAAUCAGAUUUACAAACCAUUUAGUCAUAUGUUUAUAUAUACAAAAAGUACGCCCAUUUACACAAAGAAGAAAUUUAAAACAAUACUAAUUUAUACAACUAAUAAUAUUCAUACAACCAAUAUCGACAUAUUUAUCGCCUCCAUCCAUGUAGCUGUUUUGUCUCCUCUAUCCUAGCAACAAUUCCGUCCCCUCCAACCUUGUAGCUGUUAUUUCGAGUUGGUUUGGCGCGGCGCAAUUGCCUUGUUUUUCCUAGAAAAAACAAGACAUAAAAUAGAUCGUUAUCCAAAAAGAUGAAAGUACGUUACAUAGAGGCAACUUGGUCAAUAAGCGAAUUCUAGAAAUAAACAGGACUUACUAAUAAUCAGUGGACCAUAAUAUUGUUCCCUAGAAAUAAGGCUGAUUAUACUGACAGACACAAACAGCCCACCAAAGAAGCUCAAUAACUAGUUAUUAUUAAUCAACAAGCACAUGCAUAUCUCGAAAAAUUCUAGAGAAAGGAUGCUUUAUUUUUGGUAUACGCUAAUUGUAGAUUAGCACUAUAGCAUAAAGAAUGGAAAAAUGACCAUCGGAAAUAGUAUGAGCUGAUGCAUGUUAUAAACUGCAAGGAUAAGGCAUGGUUGACGGCUAGCUUCUUCCUGUUUGCUAGUUCAUGUGCGUUAAACUGCAAACACAUAGAGAAGCAAAUCAGAUAGAGGAUAAACUCGCUCCGGCUAGCGGCCUUCCUCCAAAGCAUACGCUGUUGUCUUGAUGAGAAAAUGAUUUAUGGAACAACUAAAUGCUUUAAAAAAAACUUUAGAUCCAGACAGAGACAAGAAAGGGGCGUGUGAUCUACCUGCAGGAGCCUCGAUUCGUUGUCCUACUCGCGCGCGAUUGAUGUCGUGCUGGAGUUGAAGUUGGGCCACGGAACUGCGGAUGAAGUUGAGCCACGGUGGAGAGUGAGGGAAAGCACAGAGCAGAGGAAAGAAAGAAGAUGAGAAGCUCACCGCUGUCCAUAAGCCAGAUCCACCACGGCUGUAUCCACCAUGGUAGAUCCACCUCUACCUCCACACGGAUGUAUCCACCAGGGUUGCUCAUGUGACAGCUCUUAGAGAUCCAGAGCAGCAAGCUAAACUUAGAUAAAAUAGAAAGCAGAGAAGAGAGCUUGCUGGGAUGGGGUUCGGGGCGGCGGGGUGGGAAUGGCUGAGGGCGUGAUGCAGACAGGGUAGAGUAGCGUUAGGGUUCGUAGACUUUUAUUCCACACAUGUGGAUGGUCGGUCGUCAGAUAAAAUGGAUGGAUGAGAUCGCCUAUGGAGUUAGGUGGGCCUUGAGCCUUUAGGUUCAACUGAGGUUGUUCAGCCCUUUACUGUUUAGUGUUUUCUACUUUUGAGAAAUUUAAAAUUUAAAUUUGAGAAAUUCAAACAUAGUUAAAUUUGACAAAAUGUUCUUAAAUAAAAAGGUUAUCAACUAAAAACAUUUAUUACUUUUCCAGAUCUACAAAUUUCAUUUUGGUCAUUUUUUCAUGCAUCUUUGUUUGAACAAUUCAAAAUUUAAAUAUUUAAAAAUGACUACUUCAAACAAAAUAUUUAAAGAGUAAAUCAUUUUAUCUAAAAAAGUCAUCAACAACAAAGUUGUAGAAAUCAUUAAUAUCUAAAACUUUUAUUUUGGUCAUUUAUCCAUUCGAUAAAGUGAUAGCAACAUUGUUCAUAAAUUUUACAAAUCCCUCGUAUGGUUUCAUAAACUAUAAGAGAGAUAUGUAAAUUUUGUGAACAAUAUUACUAUCACUUUCUCGGAUGAACAAAUACCUAAAAUAAAAGUUGUAUAUAUUGAUGAGUUCUACAACUUUUAUGUUCAUGAAUUUUUCGAAUGAAAUCUUUAACCGCUUAAAAUAUUGUUUGAAGUUGUUAUUUUUUAAAAUUCAAAUUUCAAUUGAUAAAACAAAGUCACAUGAAAGUUUAUCAAAAAUAAUAGCUGUAAGAACACAAUAAAUUAAUAGAUAAUGAUUUUAAAAAAAAUUAGGAAAAAGAAUCAUCUCAUUUGGAGUUAGCAUGAGAGAAAAAGACUUGUUACAAAUUUUGACUACAGAUUAAAAAGAGAAAAACUUAUGUUCAUGUUCUUUAUUUUUCAGUAUUUAAGCAAUUUAUUUUUCUACUAAAAACUCAUAUAAAAAGGUCAUGUCCGUAGGAAAAUAGGGUCUGAGCAUUAGUUUAUAUGGGGAAUUGGUGUUUUUAUUUUUUAAAAAAACAAAAUUUUACAUUUAUGAAGUUAUCGUGACUUUGUUUCUCCGUGACUGAGCUUUGGCUUGUACCUGAGGAACAUGUACAUGUUUAUGUAUACUAAAAGUCUAAAGAAACCAUUCUGGCCAUGAAGUACCAAUAGUUGCAGUUGUAAGCUUUUGUUUUUCCCUGUCGCAAGGUCUUGAGUUCGAACCCGUCCUCUACGCUAUUUUCAUAUUUCAUUUUAUAUUAAUUUAGAGAAACCAAGAAUAAAAUAUGUUAAAUAAACAAGGGUAGCAAGUUUGGUGUAGUGUUAAGGCGUGAGUUAGUCUUACAUGAGGUCUUGGGUUCAAUUCUAGUUGUUCCUUUUUUUUUCUUUCAAUUUAAUUUUAAUUUUAUCUAGAGAAACUAGGAAUAAAAUGUUGAAAUAGCUUAACAUAAAAUGUUUAUUUCAUAUAUUUUUUCCUUUUUAAUUUAAUUUUGGUUUAAAUAAUUUAUCAAAUCAUCUUUUAGGUUUAAUUCUUUUACAGCCAUCUUUUUUAUUUUUCUUUGCACUAAAUAUUGAUAGCGUGUCUAUUGUUAUGUGUUUACUAUAGAGUAUGAUGAAUUUAGAAUCAUACACUGUGACGAUCCAAAUAACCGUUACGAGUUAGUGGGCCGAGAAUAUCCAUUGGUGCACAUCCAUGACGGAAAAUAAUUAUCGUCACGGAUUGCGGCUGUUGGUGACGGUUUGUAAAUCCGUCAUCGAGAAUCCGUCACGGAUUAGCAAGUUUCUUGUAGUGUAGCGUAAACGUGGUGUUUAGGCUAGGGUACUCAUAGAUAUUCCCUGACUAGCUGGACCGUGGUAGUAGCAAGGAACGUGACAUUUCCGAGUUAUCUUUGAAGACCAUAUCUCGUUAGCAAGAAGGAUAGGGUUUAUAGGUGCGGGUUGAACAUCCUCUGUGGUGUCUAGAUUCCGAUAGCCUCCCCAAUAGAACAGUAGAUCAUACUUACCAAGGUUAGAAGGAGACUACGGUUGCAGUCUUCUGUAUUUAUCACUCACAUCGAGAAACAUUCUUUGUUGCCUAAAGGGUUAGUAGUAAUAGACCGGGUUAGUCAGAUGCACUCUUUCUCCUAGUGGUAAAAAAAUAAAUACGAUACUCUGGAUAACCUCUCGGGUGAAGUGCUCACCGAUAUCCGUGCGCUUGCGGAUCAAUUCCUUAUUGCGUUCCCAAAUAUCAACAAGCAUUUCUGGCACCGUUGCCGGGGAGAAAGACGGUUUGCUGAGAUAACCUUGAGUCUUACUACUAGCUUGUAUCUGUACUUUUAUCUUUUCUUAUCUUUUAUAUUCUGUAUUUAUUUUCUUUACUCUUACCUUAUGGAAAACCAAAAUUCUAAAUCGAUCCAUGAAUUUGCAACACCUUUAGAAACUGACCUUUUACCAUGGGAGUCGUCACAGCAUAUCCAAACAUCCCAGUAUAGGUUAAGUUCUAGGUUGAUUGCCAUGAUUCAAAACCUAUCUUUUUCGGGAAAGGAAGACGAAAACCCUUACCUUCAUAUUAGGGAUUUUGAGCAAACAUGUGAUUGUCUUCGCAUUGAAGGCAUUUCUGAUAAAACUUUAUGUUGGAAGCUUUUUCCUUUUUCUUUAAGGGGAGAAGCUAGACAAUGGUACAGUCAGAAGGUAAGUCAACAACGAGGUGAAUGUGGAGUUUUACGAGCCAACUUUUGUCUAGAUUUUUAUUCCCUCGACCGUAUCGGCGACCUUAGACUUGAAGUCCUAUCUUUUAAACAAAAAGAUAAUGAAACUUGGGAAAAUCCUAGAAACGUUUUUCUGAUCUUUUAGAAUCUGGUCCAAACCUUAAUCUUGAAGACCCUGUUCUUUUAUUUCACUUUUUUCGAGGUCUUCAGAAAGAUCAUAAACAAAUGCUACAUACAAUGUCUACAGGUUCUUUCUUUCGCAUCCCUACUGAUGCAGCUAGAGUGAUCUUAGAUAGAAUCCUAGAAGCUGAGAUGGAUAAUACCCUUCAUGAUGAAACCUACGAAGCCGAAGUAAACACUCUGCCAAAUUCUUCAUCUACUUUAGCUAUCCCAAGUUCUGAGCCACAAAAGGAAGAAAUUCCACCACCGGACUUCAUGCUGGAUAUAGAAUCUGAUCUUUUUGCCGAUUUUGGACACAUUUCAAACUAUCAUUCUACUAAUAGACCCCAAAACGGCCAUCUUAGCAUUUGUUUGCCAACUGAAUAUCAAUUGAGAGACCUUAUCUCAGUCAUGAGUAGCGAGUGGUUGGAGGAAUCAGAGCUUUCCUCUGAUGUGAUCCGUUUGGACACACCCUCUAUAACUAUAAGCUGUGCUUAUAAUUCUGAUCGAUUUGAUGCUCUCUAUAAUCCUGUUGUGGGGAUCAACAUCAUGUCUUAAUCUUUUGCACUUAAACUGUUUCAAAAUUUGUUCUUAACCCCCACAACAAAGGUCAUAAAGGAAUCUUCGGGACGAUUAGUUCCCUGUCUUGGAAUUAUUAAUGUCCUACCCAUUACGGUAGAAGGCUCCAUGGUUCAUUUGAACUCCUAUAUCUUUGAUACAUGGGACUUCGACCUGUUGAUAGGACAACCUUUUAGGAGACUCCUUUAUGAAGGUCAUACUAGAAAGCUACAUAUUUCUUUUGGGAAAACUUUUAAAUUUCCAAUACAAUUUCACACUCCUUAAACAAUAAGGCCGAGUCAUAUCUUUUGCCUGAUCCUAUGGAGGAGGUAAAGGCUGCAUCUCUAGAGCUUUUAGAUGAACCAGACUUAGAAGACGAAACUCCUUUCUUCACAGAAGAAGAAGCUGAACAUUCUAAACCUGAACCCUUAGAUGAGUUUGCAGAAACACCAAGACCUCCCAUAGAGCUUAAAACUUUACCACCCGGUCUUAUCUAUGCUUUCCUAAACAAUAAUUCAGAGUUUCCUAUGAUCAUUAGUGAUAAACUCACUCAGGAGCAAACUCUACGAUUAAUGACCAUUCUUGAGAAACAUCACUCAGUUUUCGGCUACUCACUCCAAGAUCUUACAGGAAUCAGUCCUAUGAUUUGUAACCAUCGUAUUCCAACAGAUCCUUCUGUUUCACCUUCUCGAGAACCCCAACGUAGACUUAACAACACUAUGAGAGAGGUAGUUAAAAAGGAAGUUAUAAAGUUACUGCAUGCAGGGAUUAUAUAUCCUGUGCCGCAUAGUGAGUGGGUGAGCCCAGUUCAAGUUGUGCCUAAAAUGGGGGGCAUGACUGUUAUUAUGAAUGAAAAGAACGAGCUAAUUCCGCAACGCACUGUCACAGGAUGGCGGAUGUGCAUAGACUAUAGAAAACUAAACAAAGCCACGAGAAAGGAUCACUUUCCUUUACCUUUUAUAGAUGAGAUGCUAGAGCGAUUAGCGAACCAUUCGUUCUUCUGUUUCUUAGAUGGAUAUUCAGGGUAUCACUAAAUCCUGAUCCAUCCCGAUGAUCAAAGAAAAACCACUUUUACAUGCCCAUAUGGAACUUAUGCUUACCGUUGAAUGUCUUUUGGGUUAUGUAAUGCACCAGCUUCUUUUCAAAGGUGCAUGAUGUCUAUAUUUUCUGAUAUGAUUGAAGAGAUUAUGGAAGUUUUCAUGGAUGAUUUCUCUGUUUAUGGAAAAACUUUUGAUAGUUGUCUUGAAAACUUAGACAAGGUUUUGCAAAGAUGUGAAGAAAAGCACUUAGUCCUUAAUUAGGAAAAAUGUCAUUUUAUGGUUAGGGAAGGAAUAGUGCUAGGACACCUAGUGUCUGAAAGAGGUAUUAAGGUAGACAAAGCUAAAAUUGAAGUAAUUGAACAACUACCUCCACCUGUGAAUAUAAAAGGAAUUCGAAGCUUUCUUGGCCAUGCUGGUUUUUAUCGCAGAUUCAUAAAAGAUUUUUCAUUCAUUUCUAGACCACUUACUCUUUUUCUAGCCAAGGAUGCUCCUUUCGAAUUUGAUAAUGCAUGUCUAACAUCUUUCAAUUUAUUAAAGAAAGCACUCAUCUCUGCACCAAUCAUUCAACCCCCUGAUUGGUCGUUGCCUUUUGAAAUUAUGUGUGAUGCUAGUGAUUAUGCUGUGGGGGUAGUUUUGGGACAAACUAAAGAUAAGAAGCAUCAUGCAAUUGCUUAUGCCAGUAAAACUUUAACAGGAGCUCAACUUAAUUAUGCAACCACUGAAAAAGAGCUUCUGGCUAUUGUCUUUGCCAUUGAUAAAUUUAGAUCUUAUUUAGUUGGAGCUAAAAUAAUUGUUUACACUGAUCAUGCUGCACUAAAAUAUUUGCUCACUAAAAAAGAUGCUAAACCUCGCCUGAUUAGAUGGAUUUUAUUACUUCAAGAAUUUGACAUAGAAAUAAAAGAUAAAAAGGGAGUAGAAAAUUCUAUUGCUGAUCACUUGUCUAGAAUGUAUUUUAAGAGUCCACAGGAAACCCCUAUCGAUGAUUCACUCCGGGACAACAUGCUCUAUGGGAUUAACAGGUCUGACCCGUGGUAUGCAGAUAUUGUUAAUUUUAUGGUUUCAGGGUAUGUACCACCAGGAGCAAACAAGAAGAAGA
rnacentral:lncRNA from 1 species